rnacentral:sRNA from 1 species
CGGUGAUGAUGAUAACAUAAUUCAAUCGUCAUCUCAAACG